CCGUUGCCGGCGACCGGCGCACGGGUGAAUAACACGUAUGCAACCUGCCCGUGGCAGGGGGAUAAGCGGGGGAAACCCCGUCUAAUACCGCGUAACGCGGCCUAGGGACAUCCCAAGGCCGCCAAAGGGAGCAAUCCCGGCCACGGAUGGGCAUGCGGCGCAUUAGCUAGUCGGCGGGGUAACGGCCCACCGAGGCGACGAUGCGUAGGGGUUCUGAGAGGAAGGCCCCCCACACUGGUACUGAGACACGGACCAGACUCCUACGGAAGGCAGCAG
rnacentral:rRNA from 1 species